rnacentral:tRNA from 2 species
GAAAAUGAUAAAUACAGAGCUUCUAACUCUGUUAAUUGCGCUAUGUAACAUUUUUC